rnacentral:rRNA from 1 species
GACGAACGCUGGCGGCGUGCUUAACACAUGCAAGUCGAACGCUGAAGCACCAGCUUGCUGGUGUGGAUGAGUGGCGAACGGGUGAGUAAUACGUGAGUAACCUGCCCUUGACUCUGGGAUAAGCCCGGGAAACUGGGUCUACUACUGGAUGCUACAUGUCACCGCAUGGGGGUGUGUGGAAAGGGUUUACUGGUCUUGGAUGGGCUCACGGCCUAUCAGCUUGUUGGUGAGGUAAUGGCUCACCAAGGCGACGACGGGUAGCCGGCCUGGGAGGGUGACCGGCCACACUGGGACUGAGACACGGCCCAGACUCCUACGGGAGGCAGCAGUGGGGAAUAUUGCACAAUGGGCGAAAGCCUGAUGCAGCGACGCCGCGUGAGGGAUGACGGCCUUCGGGUUGUAAACCUCUUUCAGCAGGGAAGAAGCCACAAGUGCCGGUACCUGCAGAAGAAGCGCCGGCUAACUACGUGCCAGCCGCCGCCGUAA